ACUAAAUCUAGCCUAACCUAAAAUCAAUAUAAACAUAAACAUAUAAAAGUAAAACAAAACAUUUAUAUUUAAAAAGUAUAGGAGAUAGAAAUUUAUUCAAGCGCUAUAGAGAUAGUACCGCAAGGGAAAGAUGAAAGAAGAAAAAAUAAAGUACACAAUAGCAUAGAUUAUACCUAGUACCUUUUGCAUAAUGAAUUAACUAGAAAACUUUGACAAAAAGCAUUUAAGCCAAUUUUCCCGAAACCAAACGAGCUACUUUUAGACAGCUAAUAAUGAGCAAACUCGUCUAUGUGGCAAAAUAGUGAGAAGAUCUAAAAGUAGAGGUGAAAAGCCAAUCGAGUUUGGUGAUAGCUGGUUAUCCAAAUAAGAAUUUUAGUUCAACUUUAAAUCUUUCCUAAAAAACCCAAAAUUUUAAUGAAGAUUUAAAUGUUAAUUUAAGGAGGGACAGCUCCUUAAGUAAGGAUACAUCCUUCAAUAGAGGGUAAAAAAUACAAUUACCAUAGUAGGCUUAGAAGCAGCCAUCAAUUAAGAAAGCGUUAAAGCUCAACAAAACAUUAAAAACUCUUAUCCCUAAAAUAUACUAAUCAACCCCUAUCAAAAACAAUUGGAUUAAUCUAUAAUCAUAUAGAAGAGAUAAUGUUAAUAUUAGUAACAAGAAUAAUUUCUCCUUGCACAAGUUUAAGUUAUACAAUAAUAACCAAUUAACAAUUCUAUAAAAAAUACACCUACCAGUAAAUUAUUAAAUACAAUUGUUAAUCCAACCCAGGAGUGCAACAAGGAAAGACUAAAAUAAACAAAAGGAACUCGGCAAACAUAAACCCCGCCUGUUUACCAAAAACAUCACCUCUAGCAUAACAAGUAUUAGAGGCACUGCCUGCCCAGUGACAUUAACAGUUCAACGGCCGCGGUAUCCUGACCGUGCAAAGGUAGCAUAAUCACUUGUUCCUUAAAUGGGGACUAGUAUGAAUGGCUUGACGAGGGUUUAACUGUCUCUUGUUUAUAGUCAGUGAAAUUGACCUUUCCGUGAAGAGGCGGAAAUAAAACAAUAAGACGAGAAGACCCUAUGGAGCUUAAAUUUUCUAGCUCAUUCUAACAAUAUUUAAUCAAAAAGAGAUAAAAAACAAGUUAUGAGCUAACAAUUUUGGUUGGGGUGACCUCGGAGUAAAAAUAAACCUCCGAAUGAUAUUAACCUAGACUUACAAGUCAAAGUUCCUAUCAUUAAUUGACCCAGAAUAAUCUGAACAACGGACCAAGUUACCCUAGGGAUAACAGCGCAAUCCUAUUCUAGAGUCCAUAUCGACAAUAGGGUUUACGACCUCGAUGUUGGAUCAGGACCCCCAAAUGGUGCAACCGCUAUUAAAGGUUCGUUUGUUCAACGAUUAAAGUCCUACGUGAUCUGAGUUCAGACCGGAGCAAUCCAGGUCGGUUUCUAUCUAUUAAAAAUUUCUCCCAGUACGAAAGGACAAGAGAAAUGAGGCUAAUAAUUUAAUCAUGCCUUAAUAGUGAAAGAAUGAUAUUAUAUUAAUUCCUUAACUAUUUAUUUAUAUAACCCAAGAAAAGGGUUU
rnacentral:rRNA from 1 species